GCUAUCAGCCGGGUUAUCGUUCUCUAAUUUAUUAGGGGAAGGAAAGUCCGGACAGCACAGAGCAACACACCGGUUAACAACCGGCUUCGGAAUGUUUAGUGGAGACACUAACCAUGGCGAAAGAGACAGGGCCACAGAAAAUUACCGCUCCUCUCUUGACAUACUUCGACAAGCUCAGUAUGACAAGAGAGGAGUAAGGGUGAAAACGUGAGGUAAGAGCUCACGGGUUUUUGCAGUAAUGCAUCAAUCGGGUAAACCUUGUGUGCUGUAAUGCCACGUAAACCGGCGUUUGAGGGCGGCUCGUCCGAUGCCGAAGGGUAGGCAGCAAGAUUGUAACAGUAAUGUUGCAGCCAGAUAAAUGAUAACCGGGUGUUUGACCUUUAGCUUGGUUACACAAACACUUACAGAAUCCGGCUUACAGGCUGAUAGAUUUU
rnacentral:RNase_P_RNA from 1 species